rnacentral:rRNA from 1 species
UAACCUGCCCAAGAGAUCGGGAUAACACCUGGAAACAGAUGCUAAUACCGGAUAACAACAGAUGAUGCCUAUCAACUGUUUAAAAGAUGGUUCUGCUAUCACUCUUGGAUGGACCUGCGGUGCAUUAGCUAGUUGGUAGGGUAACGGCCUACCAAGGCGAUGAUGCAUAGCCGAGUUGAGGGACUGAUCGGCCACAUUGGGACUGAGACACGGCCCAAACUCCUACGGGAGGCAGCAGCA